UUCCUCAAUAUUGAGGGUCCGGACCACCUC
rnacentral:sRNA from 1 species